GAAAUAUUGUUCAUAUCUCGUCUAUGAUUGGGUCCAUUUGACAUAUUUUUACAUAAAGAUAGACUUGAAUGCCUUGUGACUGUCACGAAAUCAGCAAAAGGUUGUAUUGCUGAUGGACCAGGAUUCCUCCAAAAGGCCACAUAAAACUGGUGGAAUACACCUGGAAAGCCCUCCUCCAAGAAAGACAAAAAAUCUCCAAUAAAAACUAGAAGAAGCUUGGGAUUUCAAGCAUGUGAAAAACUGUCAACUCCAAAGCGAUCAGGGUACAUUACUUGGCAAGAGGAGGAUAACAUUGCGUUAGUGAACUUCUUGKUUUCAAAAGGCAUUACUCAAUGGCCGAGCUUUCGUGCUGGACAUCAACUGUGGGCCAAGGCUGCCGUGCAUGUCAGAGAGAGCACUUGUGCUUCUUUCACUAAAUCAGGUAAGCUUCUGUAUGAAUAUACUUGUGCAUAAUGCAUGAUAAUUAAUGGCUUUGAAUGAACACGCGUUUGCCGUCACACGCAAAUAGAAACCCAUAUGGUGAAGCAUUGAGCAUCGUAUAUUAAAGUAUCGAAUUGAAAAUUCAACAGAAACUUAGUAAACAUGGAGUUAGAUCGUAAAGUAUUUGUGUUAAUGUCAGUCGUUCUUUUAAUUGUUUUACAACCUCCAGCACAUUCUAACUCGCAUUUGUAUUUCUUAUUGAGACGAAGAAGAAAAACUGCAACACAACAAAUUCAAUCUAACGGAAUUUAUUUCAUAUUUGAAACCAACAGCAUUUUACCAUUCUUUGUACGAGGUAAUUUAAAUGCUCAAAUCUGUGGUUUAAUACCCACAGCAAAGAGAGGAAACUAGCUAUAUUCGAUGCCAAGACUGAUCAAGAAUGAUAAAGGUCACGUAAGAAAAAAAACAACAACAUGCGAUUUCCUGUGUUUGGAAAUUAUCUGGUCUCUGAUUGGUAGACACACUUUGGGCUUCUGAUAAACCCUACUACUUGAGUCGGGAACUGUCUUGGGUUAUUCUUUUGUUCUUUUUGAUGUAUCUAUGGAGAUAGCCCGUAGGUAAUUUCACCUCGGGUUAAUCGGUUACACACAGAUACGAUUUCACCGUGGGUUAAAAGGUGUUAGCCCAUGGGUAGAAAUCCUAGUGCAACCACAACUAUUGCUUA